rnacentral:rRNA from 1 species
UACGAAGGGUGCAAGCGUUACUCGGAAUUACUGGGCGUAAAGCGUGCGCAGGCGGUUUGCUAAGACAGGUGUGAAAUCCCCCGGGCUUAACCUGGGAACUGCGCUUGUUACUGGCAGGCUUGAGUGUGGCAGAGGGGGGUGGAAUCCACGUGUAGCAGGUGAAAUGCGUAGAGAUGUGGAGAACACCGAUGGCGAAGGGCAGCCCCCUGGGCUGAACACGAUGACGCCUC